CACUCACAAAACCACCAACACAAUCAAGAUAAACUUAAUUCAUCUUCAAAAGAUAAUUUUCUUUAAAUAGAAAUCAUUCCAAAAGGAAAUCUAUACUGAAUAUAUGAGACAUUUUUGUUUAUCUGGAUUGGGGGUAGGGUGCCACUAGUAUCUAGUGGAUAGAGGCUGGAGAUGUUAAUAAACAUUCCACUCAGACAAUACCUCACCGCCAUCAACAACAAAGGACUAUCAGCCUAAAAUGUCAAGAGUGCUGAGGUGGAGAAACCCUGAUGUGGAUACAUCCAUGCUCAUAAUUGAUUAGGAAUGAGGCAAUACAAUAUUCACUCUCUGAGUUUUUGCAUAUGUUUAUUGUCCUGUCUGAAACACCUCUCCACUCCUCAGCAACCACCCUAUGAAGCGGGUACUAUUUUCUCCCCAUUUUACAGUUGAGACGAACUGAGGCUUAGAGAGAUGAACUAACUUGGCCAAGGUCACACACUUAGUACAUGGCAGAGCUGGUAUCCGAAUCCAGCUUUGUUUACUCUGGAGCCUGUUCUUAAACUGUGUGUGAUACUACUGAUCUUUUUAAAUGAAAUAUAAGUUCUGCAUCUGGCCUAGAUGCCCAGUAAAGUUUAUCUAAGCAGAUAUUAAUACACCAAAUGCACACAGCUACUAAUCCAGUAAGAAAAAAAUAACUUCUUCCUGUCAAUUCGAUCAAGGGUGUUCAAUCUUUUGGCUUCUCUGGCAACACUGGAAGAAGAAGAAUUAUCUUGGGCUACCAUACAAUACAAUAACACUAAUGAUAGCUAAUGAGCUAAAAAAAAGAAUUGCAAAAAUGUCUCAUAAUGUUUUAAGAAAGUUUAUAAGUUUGUGUUGGGCUGCACUGAAAGCCGUCCUGGGCCACAUGUGGACCACAGGCCACGGGUUGAACAAACUUAAAUUAGAUCUUUUCUUUUCAGAUUAUUGAUGAAUGGGAGUACAUCUUCCAUUUAUUGUGUGCUUUCUCUGUGUCAGGCACAAAAGCUUUCUUUCAUUCAAUCCUCCUGCGAACACUCUGCCUGGUUAUUACUAACACAUCUUUAACACAAGGAACCAGAAUCUCAGGGUAACCUAAGCACAACAGCAUUGGGAGUUAAACCAAGAUCAUCUGGGUUUGCCUGCUUGUUUAACUGUACCAGACCACUCAAUUGCUGGUGUUAUGGCCUGAAUGUUUGUGUUCCUGCAACCCCCGACCCCAAAUUCAUAUGUUGAAGCCCUACCUCCAAUGUGAUUGUAUUUGGAGAUGGAGCCUUUGGAAAGUAGUCGAGUCAUGAGGGCAGGGCCCUGGUCUGAUGGAAUUUAGGGCCUUUAGAAGAAAAGACACCAGAGACCUUGAGCCAUCUCUCUCUCCACCAAGUGAGGACACAGCAAGAAGGUGGCCGUCUGCAAGCCAAGAAAAGAACCCUCACCAGAACCCAACCAUGUUGGCACACUGAUCCAGAGUUCCAGCCUCCAGAACUGUGAGAAAAUAAAUUAUUGUUGUUUAAGCACCCACAUUAUGGGUGUCUUAUGGCAGCCCAAGCAGACUAAGAUGGCUGGAAAUUAUAAAAUUGUACCAAAAGAGCAUUGCUUCUUGAAGUUUCUCUAACUUCUUCUGUGAUAACAUGAAUUUUAUCCUCUGUGGUAACAAGAAUUUUACCUAUCAUUCUCUAUGAUAACAAGAAUUUUAUCCUGUUACCUUCGAUGUCCUUAUAAGAAUAUUCUUAAAUGUCUUUCCUAUUUUGGAGCUAGAAUAAAAUAGUCUACGUAAUACACUAAGCAGCAUGUCUAGACAGAGUAGGCCUAUGCAAAUGUUAUGGUGUUGCAAAACAAACAAACAAAAAACCUGUAAGCCUUUUUAGUGUUUAUUGUUUCACUGACAUAUGUUGCAUUAAACAUCUCUUAAAGCUUUCUUCAGGUGCAAUCAGCAAUCAUCAACAUCUUUAUCCCAAUCAUAGCAUGAGACACUGAACCCCAGUAAGCUCUAGUUUUAAAAUUGCCUCAAAUCCUCAAUGGGAUUUACCUCUUGGGGUUGCUAUAGGGUUUAC
rnacentral:lncRNA from 10 species